GACAUAGGUGGCGAACGUUAUCCGGUUUUAUUGGGCGUAAAGGGCGCGUAGGCGGGCCUCCAAGUCCGGGGUGAAAUCCUCCAGCCUAACUGGAGAAGAGCCUCGGAGACUGGGGGCCUCGAGGGAGGUAGGGGCAAGCGGAACUAUGGGUGGAGCGGUGAAAUGCAUUGAUAUCCAUAGGAACUCCGGUGGCGAAGGCGGCUUGCUGGACCUCUUCUGACGCUGAGGCGCGAAAGCCAGGGGAGCAAACGGG
rnacentral:rRNA from 1 species